GAAAAAAGAAGCAUUGAAUGAAAUGUUGUUGAAAGGUUCAAGGAAAAAGAAUCGGACAUCAACGUGUUUUCUAUCACUACCUCUCUAACUUUACUUGUAUAUAUACACACACUUUUUCUAAUGAAAUAACCUUUUCAUUUCACCAAUUUUUUUUUAUUCUCUCUCAGUAUUCUUCCGUUCAAUCCAAAGGUUUACCAGAAAUUGUAAAGAUGAGCAACGAGGAUGGCGGUGAUGAUCUGUCUCCACAAAGACGUGCCCCUCGUUUGAAUGAGAGGAUCCUAUCAUCUAUAUCCAGGAGGUCUGUUGCUGCUCAUCCUUGGCAUGACCUUGAGAUAGGACCUGAAGCUCCAAGCGUUUUCAAUGUUGUCAUUGAGAUUUCAAAAGGAAGCAAAGUCAAAUAUGAGCUGGACAAGAAAACCGGUCUUAUUAAGGUUGAUCGCAUCCUAUAUUCUUCAGUGGUUUACCCUCAGAACUAUGGUUUCAUUCCCCGAACACUCUGUGAAGAUAAUGACCCAAUGGAUGUAUUAGUCCUCAUGCAGGAACCUGUCCUUCCAGGUUGUUUCCUUCGAGCUAGGGCGAUAGGCCUGAUGCCUAUGAUUGAUCAGGGAGAGAAAGAUGACAAGAUCAUAGCAGUGUGUGCUGACGAUCCAGAAUAUCGCCACUACACUGAUAUAAAACAGCUCCCCCCACACCGCCUUGCUGAAAUUCGCCGCUUUUUUGAAGACUACAAGAAGAAUGAAAACAAAGACGUUGCUGUUGACGAUUUCCUGCCUCCAAGUACUGCUGUCGAUGCCAUUCAGUACUCCAUGGAUCUGUAUGCUGAAUACAUAUUACACAGCUUGAGGAAGUAAGGUACAAUGGGACAUGACAUAUAAACAGAAUAUCUAUAUGUACAAUUUGAAAUGAAGACUGUGACAUGUGACAAGUUAUCUUAAUGAUUUGCCAUCAUAUUGUGUUUUUUGUACUCUUAUUUUCUCUUUGUUGAAUUUUUGUGAUGUAUGAUGUUAUGAUUUAGCAAGGGGUUAUCCAUUGCUGCUCUCAAGUUGUACUGUUUUAAUUAUGUUGACAUUA
rnacentral:misc_RNA from 1 species